UACGUAGGCAGCGAGCGUUGUUCGGAGUUACUGGGCGUAAAGAGUGCGUAGGCGGUUUUCUAAGUUUGGGGUGAAAUCUCCCGGCUUAACUGGGAGGGUGCGCCGAAAACUGGAAGGCUUGAGUAUGGGAGAGGUAAGCGGAAUUCCUGGUGUAGCGGUGAAAUGCGCAGAUAUCAGGAAGAACACCCGUGGCGAAGGCGGUUCUCUGGGACGGUACUGACGCUGAGACGCGAAAGCGUGGGGAGCGAACAGG
rnacentral:rRNA from 1 species